AACGAACGCUGGCGGCAUGCCUAACACAUGCAAGUCGAACGAAGGCUUCGGCCUUAGUGGCGCACGGGUGCGUAACGCGUGGGAAUCUGCCCCUCGGUUCGGAAUAACAGUUAGAUAUGACUGCUAAUACCGGAUGAUGACUUCGGUCCAAAGAUUUAUCGCCGAGGGAUGAGCCCGCGUAAGAUUAGGUAGUUGGUGGGGUAAAGGCCUACCAAGCCGACGAUCUUUAGCUGGUCUGAGAGGAUGAUCAGCCACACUGGGACGGAGACACGGCCCAGACUCCUACGGGAGGCAGCAGUGGGGAAUAUUGGACAAUGGGCGAAAGCCUGAUCCAGCAAUGCCGCGUGAGUGAUGAAGGCCUUAGGGUUGUAAAGCUCUUUUACCAGGGAUGAUAAUGACAGUACCUGGAGAAUAAGCUCCGGCUAACUCCGUGCCAGCCGCCGCAGUAA
rnacentral:rRNA from 1 species